CAGUCGCCGCGGUAAUACGAAGGGUGCAAGCGUUAAUCGGAAUUACUGGGCGUAAAGCGUGCGUAGGCGGUGAGUUAAGUCUGCUGUGAAAUCCCCGGGCUCAACCUGGGAAUGGCAGUGGAUACUGGCUCGCUAGAGUGUGUCAGAGGAUGGUGGAAUUCCCGGUGUAGCGGUGAAAUGCGUAGAUAUCGGAAGGAACACCUGUGGCGAAAGCGGCUCACUGGACCAUAACUGACGCUGAUGCACGAAAGCGUGGGGAGCAAACAGGAUUAGAUACCCCGGUAGUCCCUGUCUCUUAUAA
rnacentral:rRNA from 1 species